UACGAAGGGUGCAAACGUUGCUCGGAAUCAUUGGGCGUAAAGCGCACGUAGGCGGCUUUGUAAGUCGGAUGUGAAAUCCCUCGGCUUAACCAAGGAAGUGCAUCCGAAACUACAGAGCUUGAGUACUUAAGAGGAUCGCGGAAUUCCCGGUGUAGAGGUGAAAUUCGUAGAUAUCGGGAGGAACACCAGUGGCGAAGGCGGCGAUCUGGGAAGAUACUGACGCUGAGGUGCGAAAGCGUGGGGAGCAAACAGG
rnacentral:rRNA from 1 species